rnacentral:sRNA from 1 species
AUAGAAUUAAACUAAAUUAAAAAAUAAAUGGAACCGCCCAGCCCAUCCCCUACCCACCUGUCCUGCAUUUUUUUUCUCCUUAUCACUGUCUCACCACUAGAGGCCAGCUCCCCCAGGGCAAGGGUUUUUCCCUGCCUGCCACUGUAUGCCGAGUGUCUAGAACAAAGCCUAGCACAAGGAAAAGAAAAAAGCCAUCCAGGAGGAGGAGGAGAGAGACCAGGCCUUGCAGGCCAAGGCGAGCCUGACCAUCCCGCUGGUGCCCGAGACGGAAGAUGACCGCAAGCUGGCGGCUCUGCUGAAGUUCCACACCCUGGACUCCUACGAGGACAAGCAGAAACUCAAGCGGACCGAAAUCAUCAGCCGCUCCUGGUUCCCCUCUGCCCCCGGAUCCGCCUCCAGCAGCAAGGUCAGCGGCGUCCUGAAGAAGCUGGCACAGAGCCGCAGAACCGCGCUUGCCACCUGCCCCAUCACCGUCGGGGACCUGGGCAUCGUGCGGCGGAGGUCUCGGGACGUCCCGGAGAGCCCCCAGCAUGCGGCCGACACCCCCAAGUCUGGGGAACCGCGGGUACCAGAGGAGGCUGCCCAGGACCGGCCCAUGUCCCCCGGAGACUGUCCUCCGGAAACAACUGAGACCCCCAAGUGCAGCAGGCCGAGGGGGCAGGAAGGGAGCCGUCAGGACAAGCCCCUGUCGCCAGCAGGCU